rnacentral:rRNA from 1 species
CCUACGGGGGGCAGCAGUAGGGAAUUUUCGUCAAUGGGCGCAAGCCUGAACGAGCAAUGCCGCGUGAACGAGGAAGGUCUUCGGAUCGUAAAGUUCUGUUGAAGGGGAAAAAGAGCGGAGAGAGGAAAUGGUCUCCGAUUGAUAUUACCCUUCGAGGAAGUCACGGCUAACUACGUGCCAGCAGCCGCGGUAAUACGUAGGUGGCGAGCGUUAUCCGGAUUUAUUGGGUUUAACGGGUGCGUAGGCGGUCCGGAAAGUCAGCGGUAAAAGCCCGGGGCUCAACCCCGGCGAGCCGUUGAAACUGUCGGACUAGAGACGGCGAGAAGUACGCGGAAUGCGCGGUGUAGCGGUGAAAUGCAUAGAUAUCGCGCAGAACUCCGAUUGCGAAGGCAGCGUACCGGCGCCGGACUGACGCUGAGGCACGAAAGCGUGGGUAUCGAACAGGAUUAGAUACCCCUGUAGUC